CCGCCACGGUAAUACCAGCCCCGCGAGUGGUUGGGACGGGUUAUUGGGCCGUAAAGACGCCCGUAGCCGGCCCUGUCCGUCUUCCGUUAAAUCUAACGGCCAACCGUUAGGCUGCGGAAGAUACCACAGGGCUAGGGGGCGGGAGAGGUGGACGGUACUCCAAGGGUAGGGGUAAAAUACCUCUGAUCCCUGGAAGACCACCGGUGGCGAAGGC
rnacentral:rRNA from 1 species